AGUGAACGCUGGCGGCAGGCCUAACACAUGCAAGUCGAACGGCAGCACAGUAAGAGCUUGCUCCUACGGGUGCCGAGUGGCGGAUGGCUGAUGAAUACAUCGGAAUCUACUUUUUCGUGGGUGCUAACGUCGGGAAACUUACGCUAAUACCGCAUACGACUUACGGGUGAAAGCAGGUGAGCUUCGGACCUUGCGCGAUUGAAUGAGCCGAUGUCGGAUUAGCUAGUUGGCGGGGUAAACGCCCACCAUGGCGACGAGCCGUAGCUGGUCUGAGAGAGUGUUCCGGCACACUGGGACUGAGAGACGGUCCAGACUCCUAGGGGAGGCAGCAGUGGGGAAUGUUGGACGAUGGGCGGAAGCCUGAUCCAGCGAUACCGCGUGGAUGAAGAAGGCCUUCGGGUUGUAAAGCCCUUUUGUUGGGAAAGAAAAGCAGCAGGUUAAAAGCCCGCUGUUCUGACGGUACCCAAAGAAUAAGCACCGGCUAACUUCGUG
rnacentral:rRNA from 1 species